rnacentral:rRNA from 1 species
GGAUCUGGCUUUGGUCUGGGAAACCACUGGAAACGGUGGCUAAUUCCGGAUGUGCCCGUAAUUGGGUGAAAGGUUAACUGCCUGAAGAUGAGCUCGCGUCUGAUUAGCUAGUAGGUAGUGUAAUGGACUACCUAGGCGACGAUCAGUAGCUGGUCUGAGAGGACGAUCAGCCACACUGGGACUGAGACACGGCCCAGACUCCUACGGGAGGCAGCAGUGGGGAAUUUUCCGCAAUGGGCGAAAGCCUGACGGAGCAAUACCGCGUGAGGGAGGAAGGCUCUUGGGUCGUAAACCUCUUUUCUCAGGGAAGAACACAAUGACGGUACCUGAGGAAUAAGCAUCGGCUAACUCCGUGCCAGCAGCCGCGGUAAUACGGAGGAUGCAAGCGUUAUCCGGAAUGAUUGGGCGUAAAGCGUCCGCAGGUGGCGAUGUAAGUCUGCUGUUAAAGAGUCUAGCUCAACUAGAUAAGAGCAGUGGAAACUACAUAGCUAGAGUACGUUCGGGGCAGAGGGAAUUCCUGGUGUAGCGGUGAAAUGCGUAUGAGAUCAGGAAGAACACCAGUGGCGAACGCUGCUCUGCUAGGCCGUGACUGACACUGAGGGACGAAAGCUAGGGGAGCGAAU